GGUACCAUAGCACAACGGCCAGUGUGCCUCACUGUCUAUGAGGAAGGUAUGGGUUCGACUCCCAUUGGUACCG
rnacentral:tRNA from 1 species